UAGGAUUUUUUCAGAAAUUAGAGGCAUGAAAUUAGAAAAUUAGAAAAUAGAGAGGUGGUAGGAUGACUAGAGAGGUGGUAGGAAUUUUUUUCAGAAAUUAGGAUGUGGUUGUCGGCCGUCGUGCCGUUUCUUUGGUGUGGAUGUAUUUGUCGGCCAUCAUGCUGUUUCUUUGGUGUGGAUGUAUUUGUCGGUCAUCGUUCCAUCUCUUGGUGAGAUUGUGGUUGUUGUCCAUCGUGCCGUCUCUUUGGUGAGAAUGUGGUUGUCGACCAUCGUGCCAUUUUCUUUGUUGCAGGUUUUGGAAACCUCCCCGUGCAGGGGAGCUGCUGCCGAAAUUUUUACUUA
rnacentral:lncRNA from 1 species